UGCGACCAGCGUUUGACCAGCUGUAGCGCACGUGUGUAGAUGUUUUCUUCAGCAUUGCAAGAUGAUUACCCACGUUCGAGUCCGGUACGAAGAUGAUAAAAAAAUUGGAACGGUGCCAAUAGAAGACGUUAAAGAUUUCUUCCCCCGUCACCAGCAAGACUUCAAGUCCAAAUCCCUCUAUUUAGUCAAAUGGACGGACGACAGUGGAGACAGCGAUUACUAUAGGGCCCGGAUUCUGGCACUGGGAGAAUCGGAGGACUUCGCGGAGACAGAGGCCAGAGAGAGAACGCGUAUUCCGAAGAGGGUUUAUUCGCCGGCGUCUUCGGACUACGAGAAUGAAGCGGAGAGCCCUAUCAAAGAAAAAACGAAAAACAAAACAACAAGUGGUGCAGAGGCACGCCUGCUUCAGCUUUUAAAAAGCAAGAAAGAAAA